CACGUAGGGGGCAAGCGUUGUCCGGAUUUAUUGGGCGUAAAGAGCUCGUAGGCGGUUCGGUAAGUCGGGUGUGAAAACUCUGGGCUCAACUCAGAGACGCCACCCGAUACUGCCGUGACUGGAGUCUGGUAGGGGAGUGUGGAAUUCCCGGUGUAGCGGUGAAAUGCGCAGAUAUCGGGAGGAACACCAGUGGCGAAGGCGGCACUCUGGGCCAGUACUGACGCUGAGGAGCGAAAGCGUGGGUAGCGAACAGG
rnacentral:rRNA from 1 species